rnacentral:rRNA from 1 species
UACAGAGGGUGCGAGCGUUAAUCGGAAUUACUGGGCGUAAAGCGUGCGUAGACGGUAGCGUAAGUCAGAUGUGAAAGCCCCGGGCUCAGCCUGGGAAUUGCAUUUGAGACUGCUCUGCUCGGGUGCGGAAGAGGGAAGCGGAAUUUCCGGUGUAGCGGUGAAAUGCGUAGAUAUCGGAAGGAACACCAGUGGCGAAAGCGGCUUCCUGGUCCGACACCGACGUUCAGGCACGAAAGCGUGGGGAGCAAACAGG